GUACCGCUGAAGAGUCCCAAACUAGGACGAAACAGCUGUCCAGCAA
rnacentral:hammerhead_ribozyme from 1 species